rnacentral:rRNA from 1 species
CUAGCGUUGCUCGGAAUCACUGGGCGUAAAGCGCACGUAGGCGGCUUUUUAAGUCAGAGGUGAAAUCCUGGAGCUCAACUCCAGAACUGCCUUUGAUACUGGAGAGCUUGAGUCCGGGAGAGGUGAGUGGAACUGCGAGUGUAGAGGUGAAAUUCGUAGAUAUUCGCAAGAACACCAGUGGCGAAGGCGGCUCACUGGCCCGGUACUGACGCUGAGGUGCGAAAGCGUGGGGAGCAAACAGG